GUGAACGCUGGCGGUAGGCCUAACACAUGCAAGUCGAACGGCAGCACAGGAGAGCUUGCUCUCUGGGUGGCGAGUGGCGGACGGGUGAGGAAUACAUCGGAAUCUGCCCAGUCGUGGGGGAUAACGUAGGGAAACUUACGCUAAUACCGCAUACGACCUUCGGGUGAAAGAGGGGGAUCGCAAGACCUCUCGCGAUUGGAUGAGCCGAUGUCGGAUUAGCUAGUUGGCGGGGUAAUGGCCACCAAGGCGACGAUCCGUAGCUGGUCUGAGAGGAUGAUCAGCCACACUGGAACUGAGACACGGUCCAGACUCCUACGGGAGGCAGCAGUGGGGAAUAUUGGACAAAGGGCGCAAGCCUGAUCCAGCCAUACCGCGUGGGUGAAGAAGGCCUUCGGGUUGUAAAGCCCUUUUGUUGGGAAAGAAAUCUUUCAGGCUAAUACCCUGGGAGGAUGACGGUACCCAAAGAAUAAGCACCGGCUAACUUCGUG
rnacentral:rRNA from 1 species